rnacentral:lncRNA from 1 species
UGCAAGGUGGGAAGUAUUACAUUUCAUAAGAGAGGUAGAAAUAAAGUUCCAGGAAGUCUAGAGGAAUGAGUUACUCAACUUAGAGGAUAAAUGGGAAGAGUGCUAGAUCAGGGAAGUUUUAGAGGUGGCUUUGAGAGACAGGCUGCUGUAGGCAUGGGUGAGGGGAAAGGGAGGAAGAAAAGCAUUUUAGGUAGAGGGAAUGUUAUUUUCCAAUAGGCAGGGAGUCGUAAAAAUGUAGACCUAACUAAGGAUGUUUGGUUGGAGAACAUGGCAUGUGAAGCAACUCUUGAUUUUCCUCCCUAACCGUGUUCUUUCUUCCAGCCGUCAACUCAGUAAAUGAUACGAUACCACCGUGCAUUUGCCCACUCAGAAUUCUGGAGGCUGGAAGUCCACGAUCAAGGUGUCAGCAAGUUUUGUUUCUUCUGAAGCGUCUCUCCUUGGCUUGCAGUUGGCCUUCAUCUCCCUGUGUCUUCACAUGGUCUUCCCUCUGUACAUGUCUGUGUCCUAAUCUCCUCUUCAAAGGACACCAGUCAUUGGAUUAAGGUCCAAAUGACCUCAUUUUAACUUAAUUACCUCUUUAAGGACAGUAUCUCAAAACAGUCACAUUCUGAGUUACUGCAAGUUAGGACUUUAACAUAAGAAUUUUGAGGAAGCACAAUUCAGCCUAUAAAAAGAGGGAAAGAGUAAAUUUACAAUUGGGAAAUUUGAUAAACACAACCUGAGCCAGAUGACCAGGUCAAUAUUGACAGUGGUAUCUUGUGGAUAGUACGACCCUUGAUACGGUGUGAUGAAAAUGGCCCUUUACGUCACAAAAACCUAUAACCCCAGUCUAAUCAAGACAAAUCCCCACUGAGGGACAUUCUACAAAAUACUCAACCUGUGCUACUCAAAACUGUCAUCGAAAACAAGAAAAGGGAGAAACUAUCAGCCAAGAAGAUCUGAAUGAGAUAUGAUGACUAAAUGGAAUGUGGUAUCCUGCAUGGGAUCUUGGAACAGAAAAAGGAUGUGAGGUAAAAACUAAGGAAAUCUGAAUUAAGCAUGGACUUUAGUUAUGAUAAUAUAUCAAUAUUGGUUCGCUAAUUGUAACAAACGUGCUGUACUAUUGUAUGAUGUUAAUAAUAAAGGCAAACUGGUUGCUG